rnacentral:lncRNA from 1 species
AUAUAUAUAUAUAUAUAACACUUAUUGCUAAGAAUCAGAAAAGUUAUUUUUUUAACAAAAAUCUCUUUCAAAGAAUAAUGUAGAUGGAGAUUUUGGUGUAUCAGAAAAGAAUUUACAGGUUAUUUCCACCACCAAAAAACAAAAAGAAGAAAGAGACAGCAUUGCUAUCAAUCUGAUAGCAUAACUAUAGGAGAAGCUGCGACGAUCAGUCACUGUGGGACGAUGGUUUCGAAGCAGUGAAGCCCGUCCAACUCCACAGCGAACCGCGGCGGCCUCCACUUCUUCUUCUGCUGCUGCUCCAGCUUGCUCUCGUCUCGGACUUGCUCUUCCUUGUCCUUCUUCCCAAGGCAAGCGUUGGCGGAGGACAGGUACCCUUUCGGGCUCCAAAGCGAGAAGGCCCACUGCGAUAUGAGAGCAGCCAUGGAGAGAGUACUGCGAGCGUGGCGAAUAAGAUUGAGCGGAGCUUAGCGUACAAGGCUAUGAAGGGUUGUGCGUGUCAAAGACGAAGAGGGGAAGAGGUUUUUAUAGUGGGAAGAAGGAAGGAGGAAGAGGACUCUGGAGUUGCGAAGGCGGAGGAAGCGAAGCUUCUGUUUGGUGCUCUCGCGUUCCGGUAUGUACGCGGACUUUCCACACUGUUCCGGAGAAAGGUUAAGAGAAGCGUGUCAACUCCAACAGACACGCGUCAGCAUAAGGUGUUUUACACACACACACACUCACAGCAUAAGGUGUUUUACACACACACACAC